rnacentral:lncRNA from 1 species
GACAUACCACAGUGUGUUUAUACAUUUGUCUCAAUAGGCUCUGGAUUGUUUCUGGUUCCGCUGUUGUUUUCAGCAUACACCACCGGACACACGUAACACGGGUCUUCCCUGUGGUACCUAGGUGUGGCAGAGCCUCUGACCAGGCACUCUGAUUGACCUCCGGCUAACACCACCAGGACACCAUUUCCCAGGUCCCAGAGAGCCGGUGGUGCAAAGUCCCCUGGCUCUACCUAGAAAACUGGAGUCAGUGCUGGUAUGAGCACAUGAUGAAGCCCACGUGAGAGAACCAGGACGAAACGACUCUAUCACAACUUCAGAGGGACUGAAACGAGAGGAUCGUUUCUUCCUAAAUCCGGAAACUGGAAAGCCAGCCAGAAAGGUGGGUGGCAGUGGCACUGUGGGCCACCCCUCCCUGGAUGCAGGGGCCACCAGGUGCAUUGGUGAUGUGACGUCCAACAGGUGUGUGCUCAGAGCUGAGAAAGCGCCAGUGUUCAUGGGGUUCCAUAACGCACCAUCUUUUUGCUUCCUGAGCUCUCUACCAUAAUCCAAACUACAUAAAUG